GAUGAACGCUGGCGGCGUGCCUAAUACAUGCAAGUCGAGCGAACGGACGAGAAGCUUGCUUCUCUGAUGUUAGCGGCGGACGGGUGAGUAACACGUGGAUAACCUACCUAUAAGACUGGGAUAACUUCGGGAAACCGGAGCUAAUACCGGAUAAUAUUUUGAACCGCAUGGUUCAAAAGUGAAAGACGGUCUUGCUGUCACUUAUAGAUGGAUCCGCGCUGCAUUAGCUAGUUGGUAAGGUAACGGCUUACCAAGGCAACGAUGCAUAGCCGACCUGAGAGGGUGAUCGGCCACACUGGAACUGAGACACGGUCCAGACUCCUACGGGAGGCAGCAGUAGGGAAUCUUCCGCAGUGGGCGAAAGCCUGACGGAGCAACGCCGCGUGAGUGAUGAAGGUCUUCGGAUCGUAAAACUCUGUUAUUAGGGAAGAACAUAUGUGUAAGUAACUGUGCACAUCUUAACGGUACCUAAUCAGAAAGCCACGGCUAACUACGU
rnacentral:rRNA from 1 species